rnacentral:rRNA from 1 species
UGCCAGCCGCCGCGGUAACACGGGGGGCGCAAGCGUUAUUCGGAAUUAUUGGGCGUAAAGGGCGCGCAGGCGGUCUUGUCCGUCAGGUGUGAAAGCCCAGGGCUCAACCUUGGAACUGCAUGGGAUACUGGCAUUCUAGAAUACAGUAGAGGGAGGUGGAAUUUCAGGUGUAGCGGUGAAAUGCGUAGAGAUCUGAAGGAACAUCAGUGGCGAAGGCGGCCUCCUGGACUGAUAUUGACGCUGAGGUGCGAAAGCGUGGGGAGCAAACAGGAUUAGAUA